GGCGCAAGCCUGAUCCAGCAAUGCCGCGUGCAGGAAGAAGGCCUUCGGGUUGUAAACUGCUUUUGUACGGAGCGAAAAGGCUCUCUCUAAUACAGGGGGCUGAUGACGGUACCGUAAGAAUAAGCACCGGCUAACUACGUGCCAGCAGCCGCGGUAAUACGUAGGGUGCGAGCGUUAAUCGGAAUUACUGGGCGUAAAGCGUGCGCAGGCGGUUUUGUAAGACAGGCGUGAAAUCCCCGGGCUCAACCUGGGAAUGGCGCUUGUGACUGCAAAGCUGGAGUGCGGCAGAGGGGGAUGGAAUUCCGCGUGUAGCAGUGAAAUGCGUAGAUAUGCGGAGGAACACCGAUGGCGAAGGCAAUCCCCUGGGCCUGCACUGACGCUCAUGCACGAAAGCGUGGGGAGCAAACAGGAUUAGAUACCCUGGUAGUCCACGCCCUAAACGAUGUCAACUGGUUGUUGGGUCUUUACUGACUCAGUAACGAAGCUAACGCGUGAAGUUGACCGCCUGGGGAGUACGGCCGCAAGGUUGAAACUCAAAUG
rnacentral:rRNA from 1 species